rnacentral:rRNA from 1 species
AUUGAACGCUGGCGGCAGGCUUAACACAUGCAAGUCGAACGAGUGGCGGACGGGUGAGUAAUGGUUGGGAAUCUAGCUUAUGGAGGGGGAUAACUACGGGAAACUGUAGCUAAUACCGCGUACCAUAGUAUGAGCCCAAGUUGGAUUAGGUAGUUGGUGAGGUAAAGGCUCACCAAGCCGACGAUGUCUAGCUGGUCUGAGAGGAUGACCGGCCACACUGGGACUGAGACACGGCCCAGGCUCCUACGGGAGGCAGCAGUGGGGAAUAUUGCGCAAUGGGGGAAAGCUGACCGAGCCAUGCCGCGUGAAUGAAGAAGGUCUUCGGGUUGUAAAGUUCUUUCGGGAGCGAGGCGUUAACUACAGAAGAAGCACCGGCUAACUCCGUGCCAGCAGCCGCGGUAAUAC